GGAUUAGAUACCCUGGUAGUCCACGCCGUAAACGAUGAGAACUAGGUGUAAGAAUUUAUUUUUGUGCCGUAGCUAACGCGUUAAGUUCUCCGCCUGGGGAGUACGGCCGCAAGGCUAAAACUCAAAGGAAUUGACGGGGGCCCGCACAAGCGGUGGAGCAUGUGGUUUAAUUCGAUGCAACGCGAAAAACCUUACCUACCCUUGACAUCCCUGAAAUCGACUAGUAGUAGUCGAGUGCCUUCGGGAAUCAGGUGACAGGUGCUGCAUGGCUGUCGUCAGCUCGUGCCG
rnacentral:rRNA from 1 species